rnacentral:rRNA from 1 species
AUUGAACGCUGGCGGCAGGCCUAACACAUGCCAGUCGAACGGUAACAGGGAUCAGCUUGCUGAUUCGCUGACGAGUGGCGGACGGGUGAGUAAUGUCUGGGAAACUGCCUGAUGGAGGGGGAUAACUACUGGAAACGGUAGCUAAUACCGCAUAACGUCGCAAGACCAAAGAGGGGGACCUUCGGGCCUCUUGCCAUCGGAUGUGCCCAGAUGGGAUUAGCUAGUAGGUGGGGUAACGGCUCACCUAGGCGACGAUCCCUAGCUGGUCUGAGAGGAUGACCAGCCACACUGGAACUGAGACACGGUCUAGACUCCUACGGGAGGCAGCAGUGGGGAAUAUUGCACAAUGGGCGCAAGCCUGAUGCAGCCAUGCCGCGUGUAUGAAGAAGGCCUUCGGGUUGUAAAGUACUUUCAGCGGGGAGGAAGGGAGUAAAGUUAAUACCUUUGCUCAUUGACGUUACCCGCAGAAGAAGCACCGGCUAACUCCGUG